AUUAUAUAACUCCAGAGAAGACUAGGGGAUGAAAUUGAUCUCUUGAGGUUCCUUUGAGACUUCCAUUUCCAUGAUUAAACGAGUCUAUAAAUUGUUGCAGAGGUCACCACACAAAUGAAUGCUUUAUUAGGCACCAGUAAAUGACUACAAUAGCAAACCGAAGUUGUGUUUGUACAAUAUUUCAUAAAUUACAGACAACGAGGAGUAUCUUUCAUAUGUGGGCACAUUCAUUCCUCCCCCAUCCCUAGACCCCUGUGGGUUCUUGUUUCGUUUGGUUUGCAGUGUAUGUGAAUGGGUCCUGUUUCUCUGAAGGAAUCUCUUUUUCAAACUGAGGUUGUUAAUUUAGAAGUGGUUCGCUGGUAAGCUCAUCUGGUGUGCCCAGCUUUAAACCCACCUAUGCAGUCCACAAAGAAUUGAGGGGGAGUCAAGAAGGAGGAUAAGCAUUGCCUAGAUAGGGCAUGUGGUGGAAUAUAUUUCAUCUCUCUGAAUGUAAUGACACUAAUUUAAUUAAAAAUCCAGGCUGGCCGGUACAAUUUACAGAACAACAUGACUAAUAUUGUUAUGCUUAUGUAAGCAGAGAAAUUAAUUAAAACUUUGAAGCUUACUCGUUGGCAUAAUGAAAACUCAUUUUAUGCUGGUGAGAGAUUAAGGAAACCUUCUCGGUGGGCUCUUUUGCAGAAAGGGACAGAAACCCUCCCUGCCCCAUUCUCACAACCAGGGAGCAUUUAAUUAAACUCAGCGGAGAAUGUAACAGUGGGAAAAUGAAAGCAGCAAGAAAUAUUUUUGUUAAUAUAUUAGUUCUGGAAAAAGAGCUUUGGAAUAGCCAGAAGGAGCUUGACAUGAGCUCUGCUGGUGUGAGAGAUAAAGGGGGAGAGUCAUUUGUUAUGGGAGCUGCAGUGAUGUGAUGCCGAAGGAGGGGUGCAGCCAGGGAAGCACUGGUGUGGGGGGUGAGCUCCCUCAUGGCAAUGUUACAAGAUUCUGCAGACAAUGACUUAGAUGGGAUAACUCCCUGCUUGUUUUCAGUCUGAAUGUCUUGCUCGAAACCCACCUGCCAGAGCUUACACCUGAGCAUCCCACAUCUCACUGGAAGCAGAAAGGUCCAUGCUGGCUGGUUCAAUCAAGUUUGCUGAGGAAAGAUCCAACACAGGGUGAAGAGUUCAGCUGGACCUCAGAAAUAUCCAGGGAGAAGACACUCCUGAAGGUCUUGGAAAACAGAAUUUCCUCAAAAUGGAGGAAACUGUCUCUGUUUCAGGAGAGAGUCAAUGGAUCUGUCAGGGCAGCAGUGGGAAGGUGAGCACGGAGAUUAGGGUGGCAGCACUAUGUGAAACAAGAAGCUAACAUCUCAGUGUGUCUUGGAGGUGUGGAAGGAAGGACUACAUUCUCCACCUACACAAAUAGCCAGAGGCACAGUUAGCAGUUCCGCCUUGCACCCAAAAAAGGUUAACCACUAAUUGUAAGUUACUGAC
rnacentral:lncRNA from 1 species